AAAGUCCCCUUCGGGGGGCAAGUAGAGUGGCGCACGGGUGAGUAACACGUAGGUAAUCUACCUUUGGAUUGGGAAUAACCACCGGAAACGGUGGCUAAUACCGAAUAAUGCAGCGGCACCUAAUGGUGACAGUUGUUAAAGCGGGGGAUCGCAAGACCUCGCGUCUGAAGAGGAGCCUGCGGCAGAUUAGCUAGUUGGUAAGGUAACGGCUUACCAAGGCGAUGAUCUGUAGCCGGCCUGAGAGGGCGGUCGGCCACACUGACACUGACAUACGGGUCAGACUCCUACGGGAGGCAGCAGUCGGGAAUUUUGGGCAAUGGGCGAAAGCCUGACCCAGCAACGCCGCGUGAAGGAUGAAAUCCUUCGGGAUGUAAACUUCGCAAGAACGGGAAGAAUAAGUAAGGGUUAAUAUCUCUUACGAUGACGGUACUGUUUGUAAGCUCCGGCUAACUCCGUGCCAGCAGCCGCGGUAAUACGGGGGGAGCAAGCGUUGUUCGGAUUUACUGGGCGUAAAGGGCGCGUAGGCGGCCACCGCAAGUCGACUGUGAAAUCUCCGGGCUUAACCCGGAAAGGUCAGCCGAUACUGCGGGGCUAGAGUGCAGAAGGGGCAACUGGAAUUCUCGGUGUAGCGGUGAAAUGCGUAGAUAUCGAGAGGAACACCUGCGGCGAAGGCGGGUUGCUGGGCUGACACUGACGCUGAUGCGCGAAAGCUAGGGGAGCGAACGGGAUUAGAUACCCCGGUAGUCCUAGCCUUAAACGAUGAAUGCUUGGUGUCUGGGGUUUUAUAGUCCCCGGGUGCCGUCGCUAACGCUUUAAGCAUUCCGCCUGGGGAGUACGGUCGCAAGACUGAAACUC
rnacentral:rRNA from 1 species